rnacentral:rRNA from 1 species
AUUGAACGCUGGCGGCAGGCCUAACACAUGCAAGUCGAGCGAGAGGCGGACGGGGGAGUAAUGACUGGGAAACUGCCUGAUGGAGGGGGAUAACUACUGGAAACGGUAGCUAAUACCGCAUACCAUCAGAUGUGCCCAGAGGGGAUUAGCUAGUGGUGGGGGUAACGGCUCUCCUAGGCGACGAUCCCUAGCUGGUCUGAGAGGAUGACCAGCCACACUGGAACUGAGACACGGUCCAGACGCCGACGGGAGGCAGCAGUGGGGAAUAUGGAACAAUGGGCGCAAGACUGAUGCAGCCAUGCCGCGUGUGUGAAGAAGGCCUUCGGGUUGUAAAGCACUUUCAGCGGGGAGGCGUUACCCGCAGAAGAAGCACCGGCUAACUCCGUGCCAGCAGCCGCGGUAAUUC